UCGAGAAUCUUCCGCAAUGGGCGCAAGCCUGACGGAGCGAUGUCGCGUGAUUGAUGAAGUCCUUCGGGAUGUAAAGGUCUUUUAUGAGGGAGAAAGUUAUUGAUAGUACCUCAUGAAUAAGGGGUUGCUAAACUCGUGCCAGCAGCAGCGGUAAUACGAGUGCCCCAAGCGUUAUCCGGAAUUAUUGGGUGUAAAGGGUGUGUAGGAGGUUGUAUUAGUCGUGUGUCAAAACUCUGGGCUUAACCUAGAAUCUGCACGCGAAACGGUACAACUAGAGGACGCGAGAGAUGUGUAGAACUCAUAGUGUAGGGGUGAAAUCCGUUGAUAUUAUGGGGAAUACCAAAAGCGAAGGCAGCACAUUGGCGCGCUCCUGACUCUGAAACACGAAAGCGUGGGUAGCGAAUGAGAUUAGAUACCCUUGUAGUCCCUGAGCGGGCUGGCAAGGCGCAU
rnacentral:rRNA from 1 species